rnacentral:rRNA from 1 species
UACGUAGGGUGCGAGCGUUAAUCGGAAUUACUGGGCGUAAAGUGUGCGCAGGCGGCGCCGCAAGUCGAGUGUGAAAGCCCCGGGCUUAACUUGGGAAUUGCGCUCGAAACUAUGGUGCUGGAGUGUGGCAGAGGAAGGUGGAAUUCCACGUGUAGCGGUGAAAUGCGUAGAGAUGUGGAGGAACAUCGAUGGCGAAGGCAGCCUUCUGGGCCAACACUGACGCUCAUGCACGAAAGCGUGGGGAGCAAACAGG